CCCUUAGAUGUUCUGGGCCGCACGCGCGCUACACUGACGAAUGCAACGAGCUUAUAACCUUGGCCGAAAGGUCUGGGUAAUCUCCAAAUUUCGUCGUGAUGGGGAUAGAUUAUUGCAAUUAUUAAUCUUCAACGAGGAAUGCCUAGUAAGCGCAAGUCAUCAGCUUGCGUUGAUUACGUCCCUGCCCUUUGUACACACCGCCCGUCGCUCCUACCGAUUGGGUGUGCUGGUGAAAUGUUCGGAUCGGCCGUUUGUCGCGGUUUCCGCGUCAUGUGGCUGAGAAGUUCAUUAAACCCUCCCACCUAGAGGAAGGAGAAGUCGUAACA
rnacentral:rRNA from 1 species